rnacentral:rRNA from 1 species
GAUGAACGCUGGCGGCGUGCCUAAUACAUGCAAGUCGAGCGAACAGACGAGGCACUUGCCCCUCUGACGUUAGCGGCGGACGUGUGAGUAACACGUGGAUAACCUACCUAUAAGACUGGGAUAACUUCGGUAAACCGGAGCUAAUACCGGAUAAUAUAUUGAACCGCAUGGUUCAAUAGUGAAAGACGGUUUUGCUGUCACUUAUAGAUGGAUCCGCGCCGAAAUAGCUAGUUGGUAAGGUAACGGCUUAACAAGGCAACGAUGCGUAGCCGACCUGAGAAGGAGAACCGGCCACACUGGAAUGGAGCAAGGUCCCAGAUCCUUAGGGAAGGCGCAGGUGGGAAACUUCCGCCAAGGGGGGAAAGCUGACGGAGCCACGGCGGGUGGGAGAAAGAGGUCUUCGGGUCGUAAAACUGCUUUAUUAGGGAACGAAACAUGUGUGAGUAAUUCCGCACGUUAAGACGGUACCUGAACAGAAAACCACGGGUAACUACGGG